GACGAACGCUGGCGGCGUGCCUAAUACAUGCAAGUCGAGCGAAGUUUUUCUGGUGCUUGCACUAGAAAAACUUAGCGGCGAACGGGUGAGUAACACGUAAAGAACCUGCCUCAUAGACUGGGACAACUAUUGGAAACGAUAGCUAAUACCGGAUAACAGUAUUUCUCGCAUGAGAGAUAUUUAAAAGUUGGUUAUGCUAACACUAUGAGAUGGCUUUGCGGUGCAUUAGCUAGUUGGUGGGGUAAAGGCCCACCAAGGCGACGAUGCAUAGCCGACCUGAGAGGGUGAUCGGCCACACUGGGACUGAGACACGGCCCAGACUCCUACGGGAGGCAGCAGUAGGGAAUCUUCCGCAAUGGGCGAAAGCCUGACGGAGCAACGCCGCGUGAGUGAAGAAGGAUUUCGGUUCGUAAAGCUCUGUUGUUAGGGAAGAAUGGAUAUGUAGUAAC
rnacentral:rRNA from 1 species